rnacentral:piRNA from 1 species
UUAUAAGAAUUGAGCCUUAUUUAGAGCA